CUGACAGUAUUCUGUUCCCUUAAUGAUACAAGUCAACCUGCAUCUGCCUCCUUCAGGACAUUAAAAAUCACAAAAACUCCAUCAAUGGAGCAGAGAAGCAUGAAGGCGCUUUGCACCACAAACAGAUGCUGAAGCUGGCUGCUGGCUGCAAAGAUUUUAACGGAUCUUUUUUUGUGCGCUCUACAAUUCAUCGUUGGCAUGUUUGCAUUAAGGGAAGAAGCGAAGCCUGUGGGAUGUGACCUGUUCACUGUGAUGCGUGGGAUUCAUUAUCUACACCUGCUGGACGGCACCGUGGGUCCGAUCCACCCUGUGAGCUCAUCACACAGCUAAAGGCUGAGCUGUGAGCAAAAGCUUUCUAUUGGAACGCCUGAAGGAGGGAAGUGUUUGCAGACCACUCGUUAGGCACGACUACAACAGUUUGAGUGGAACGUCAGCUGGGAUGACACCGCGGCUCAGUGGUCAGCACUGGGACUGGGCCAGCAACGCAACAAACAGAUGAUGCGGAUGAAAUCUUUGGGCUCGAUAUAGUCUGAAGAAGAGCAAUCAGAAAUGUAUGUUCAUCAAAAGCAGGUUCAAUACCGACUUUAGGGACGAGUGAGGCCGUGCUAGGAAUCCACUGCAUAUGCAUCUGUGAGACUUUGAGCCGAAAAAUCUCCUUCAUCAUAAAUGAUACGACAGAAAAACGUUCACGCUUCAGUAAACAGAUCAGACUUUCACAGUAAAAGCAUUUCCUGUGAUGAGCUCAGCCUGAGGGAGCUGCUGUGAGGCUCAUGAUCGAAGGGCAGCUUACAAACUGUACCUGUGUGUGAACAACACCAGAAGACCUGAUUUUCUAUCACCAGCUGUUUCAUCGUGGAUGUUUAAGACAUGACGUCGGCCUGCACAUGGCUUCAGCACCAGCACUGCGAUGUGCGCAGACCCACCAGUGACAGGAACUGAGAUGUCAAGUUUGACACUGAAAGCAAAGCCGCUUGGCUCUCAUUUCCUAAAAGUCUGUGUGAUACUUCGGUUGAAGGCUUCUUGGACACACUGUCUUGUUUCACGUUAUCUAAAGGAAACAGAACUUUGUGACAUGCAGGCUCCACAUGUGAGCAGCAAAGUGACAGAGGACUGAAAUGAAACGUAACCCUGGUCCACAAAGAAUGGUCAUACUCAAACUAGUACGUUUCCAGGUGCCCACAGGUGUCCCAAUACUGGGAAAAUCGUGACUCUACACACUGUAGAUAUUAUGAAACUAGAGUCUUCUACUGUCUCCAUAGUUGUCCCACGUCUGCUGUGUUUAAACGCAGCCUGCAGUUCAGCCCAAGUCCCAGAAUCUUUGUCAUUUCACUGAAUCAUUAAUGGCAUCCCAGCUGCAUCCAGAAGCACAGGAUGACCUGUUGGUUUGUUUUCACAGAGUCUGGACAAAGCAAAUGAUUUAUUUUUUGCAAAAUCUUAAAGAUAUGUAGACAAAAUGUGUUGUGAUGAUGUCAUGAUCUUAAGCUGAGGUCGGUCAUGUUCUCUGAAGCAACGGCACACAACCAGUGAGUGAUUCAAGGACUACAGCAGAGCUGAACGUCUAACGGCUCUUUCUGUUUGCAGCUUUUCUGGCUUCCAUAGACGGCGUGUUCUGGUGGGUUUUUACUGAAAACAUGCCUUUUAGGCUGCAGCACCACAAAGCUAACUAUGACGAGUGCAAAGCCACGCGUGAAUGCUUUCCAAAGCGACAAACUGCUUUAGAUGCCUUCACCAGUUGCACCAUAUGAGAAAGAUUCAAAUGGCCUUUUUCAGCUUCUUUUAAUCAGUUUUUAUUUUCUGUGCAGAAGCACUGCCUCACACCCUAACCCUGACCCAGAAUGAAUAAUGCUCUCCAGGUACAGUCACCAGGGACCUGGGAAGGAUUCCUCCAUGUGUUCAUGCUCGGAUCGUACACCGAUCAUUUCAAUGUCAUACAAACUCCGAGUCAAACAGCUGAAGGAAGGCAGACGUCCUGGUGUGAUUCUCUGCAGUGACUGCUCAGCUGUGCUUUUAGUGCUGCUGAAUGGACCGAACACCCACAUCCCAACAGUUUCAAGCAUCUCUCUCACUCUUCUCUCAGCCUAUUGGCUGGCCACCCCCCGCCCCACUACUCCAUUUUCUCUUCCGCCAUUGGUUGAAGUGAACUGUGUGUCGGUGAGUCAGCGGGGUGGUGGGCGUGAGAUCUGAAACAGCGUGGGUGGUGCUGGUGGUGUGAGGGGGGAAGAAAACGAAAGUAAAGACGAGAACCAAAGAAAAAUCAGGAGAAGACAAUAAAGAAAGAAGCUGAGUGUCCACAAACGCAGACGCUACAGGUCGGGCCAUUUGUGAUGCUCUGCUUCCGUUCUUGUUUUCAUCUGUUUGGCUAUUUGAACAAGGAGAGCAUCUGGGGCAUAUCAAGGAGGAACAUCACAGUAUGAGGGUCUAAAUGGGAUGGUGUCACCUCAGUAAGAAGCUCUGAUGCUCUGAGAUGUAAACAGAGCAACAGAGGCGACGGACGGUGGCGGCUCCUGAACUCUGGACCAGAUACCUUCAUGUGAGAACUGAUCAGACGUCCUGAAAGAACGCUGGCAGCACGCGCAGAGCGGGAGCAUGACUUGGUUUUCAUGAUUAUUUUAUUUCUUUUUGGUUCACAUUUCGAUCUGCGUAAUUGUGCAUCACUUUGUUUUAUGAGCAGCUGCUUUGGUUUCGUGGCACUUUGGUUGAACUCUUGCUGUUUUUAAACGUGCUUUAUAAAUAAAACUGACUGACUUCUAUGUGACA